rnacentral:lncRNA from 1 species
CAAAACAUCUGAGCUUCAUGAAUGGGCCCCCAAACCCAAACAUCUUUCCUGUCAGUGUUUUUGAAAUGGAAAAAAGUAGACUGUGUAUGCUACUGAAGUAAAUUCAAAUUCUUCUAUUUGUGUUCUUCCCCAGACAUAUGUUGUAAGGACUUUUUUUGUUCACCUUUAAUUCUGAAUGACUGAGAACACUGCUCCCGACAUCUCUAGACUGAAAUUAUUUGAGAACACUGAAAUGCCUAAGGAAAAAGAGCAACACCAUGGACCAGCAUCCAAUAUUGGAACUAAGCCACAUCCAUUUUUCCACAGAAGACCUCAGUUUCAAUGCAAAUCGUUCCUGGAGGAAAAAUGUUCUGUUGAAAAAAGUGACCAACUCUCAUAAUUAUGGUUGCAAAUCCAAACACACCCAGAUGUGCCCUUGUUGUCUUUGGGAUGUCUGAGUUUCUCUGGCAUCUUCAUAUACAGCCACGGCACCUCGAACGGAAGAGGCGAAGCAAGAAUAUAUGUAGGGGGUUUCUCUGCUUGGCCCUGUGAGAAUUCCUCUUCCCUCCACCCUCAAAAGACUGCUAUCCCUCUCAAUUCCAUGCUCUUUACCACCUCACCCCCAGUUUACCCUCUUGUCAUUUCCUCUUGCCCUCUUCCCGCCGUAUCACGUUUCCAAUUCAGAAUCUGUAGAUCCACAAUUGUUUAAAAAGCAGCUCAAACUUCCAACUUAUAAACAUCGCUUCCUCUGUCUCCUGAAUUUAUUUUAAUAGCUGAUAUUUGAGCCCAGGGGAUUGUUUUAACUAACACUGUAUAGUCAGAAGGAAUCACUCUCCUCCAGGCUACCUCUGGGUCAACAGCAUAAGGCAAGACCCCCUCACAUUUCAUUACCCAGGGAUCAGAUCCCUUUUCCCAAUCCAUCACUCUGAAGCUCAUUCCUCCUAUUCCUCUCAGAUUUGCCUUCAUGAUUCAUGCGGUGCCAAAUCAACAGUAUAUUUGCUUUUUUCUCAGUUCAUUGUUUUUAUUUGCUUACAUGUUCCCUGUCAUAGUUCAACUCAUAAAUCAAGGCCGGUUUAUUUUUUACAAACCCGUUGAAAGUUUGAGCCAGUUUCCACUGUUAUGAAAGACUCCCAAUACUACACGUCCUCUAACAGGUGGAAAAUGUCUGUGGAGGCUGUUUGGAUGGGAACGAUUUUCUAACUUAAAGACAAAGUAGUGUUUAUUUAUGGCUUAAUCUAAUUCCACAACAAUGUAACAGUUCACUGCACUGAAUUAUCUCCUCAUGCUGCUAUCCCACUCACAUAUGGCUUUACUAUUUAAAUAAAAAGUGUAAUAUUGAAACAACUUCUAGCUAUUAAGCUCGUGUAACUGAUUACAGUGAAACAAUGUUCCUGAGAUAUUCUGACAGACCAUUUUCCCUUAAGACAACCACUAAGUGUCCGUCCUAACUAAAUUUGGCGUUAAAAAAGCAAGCAAACAAAACCCACAACACGCUCUUCCCCUCCAACCAUUUUACUUAACCUUUACUUUUUUAGGCUCAGAUCAAGAGCUGUUGAUUUCCCAGGUUAUCAGUGGAACACAAACACCUCUUUCCUGGUGAUCUAGACAUGGAGAAAGAGAGAACCCCCCUGCAAAGCUGAGUUUUGUGCACAUUGCGGCGGUUCCUGCUGGGAACAAGGCUCACCGAUCCCCCCAGAUACAACAGAGAGGAAUUGCCUCUGAAGGUCCAUCCUGCCUCAACCCCAC